UAGGGAAUCUUCCACAAUGGACGCAAGUCUGAUGGAGCAACGCCGCGUGAGUGAAGAAGGCUUUCGGUCGUAAACUCUGUUAUUGAAGAAGAACGUGUGUGACAGUAACUGGUCAUGCAGUGACGGUAUUCAAUCAGAAAGUCACGGCUAACUACGUGCCAGCAGCCGCGGUAAUACGUAGGUGGCAAGCGUUGUCCGGAUUUAUUGGGCGUAAAGCGAGUGCAGGCGGUCUUUUAAGUCUGAUGUGAAAGCCUUCGGCU
rnacentral:rRNA from 1 species